AAAAUGCGAUAGUUAAUGCGACUUGCAGAUUUUCGCGAGUCAUCGAAUCUUUGAACGCACACUGCGCCUGGAAGAAAUUUCAGGCAUGCCUGGUUGAGUGCCAUUUUCAACUCUCUGACCAAGUUUUCGACUUGGUCUGGGGAUUUGAGAGUGUCUGCAGCGAUGUAGGCUCUCUUUAAACACAGCAAGUACCACUGUUUGCGCAAUUUUUCACUGAGUUUGGAGAAAUUUUGAGCAAUAGGUGUGUACUCUCUCUCAAUUUUCAACUCUGGCCUCAGCUCAGACAUGACCACCGGCUGAAUUUAA
rnacentral:misc_RNA from 1 species